GACGAACGCUGGCGGCGUGCCUAAUACAUGCAAGUUGAGCGAUGAAGAUUGGUGCUUGCACCAAUUUGAAGAGCAGCGAACGGGUGAGUAACGCGUGGGGAAUCUGCCUUUGAGCGGGGGACAACAUUUGGAAACGAAUGCUAAUACCGCAUAACAACUUUAAACAUAAGUUUUAAGUUUGAAAGAUGCAAUUGCAUCACUCAAAGAUGAUCCCGCGUUGUAUUAGCUAGUUGGUGAGGUAAAGGCUCACCAAGGCGAUGAUACAUAGCCGACCUGAGAGGGUGAUCGGCCACAUUGGGACUGAGACACGGCCCAAACUCCUACGGGAGGCAGCAGUAGGGAAUCUUCGGCAAUGGACGAAAGUCUGACCGAGCAACGCCGCGUGAGUGAAGAAGGUAUUCGGAUCGUAAAACUCUGUUGGUAGAGAAGAACGUUGGUGAGAGUGGAAAGCUCAUCAAGUGACGGUAACUACCCAGAAAGGGACGGCUAACUACGUG
rnacentral:rRNA from 1 species